GUUCCCUCAACUCGAUUUCACAAGGAGAUAGCCCACACCCACAGGCGGAACCCUCCUCCAAACGCAAACCAGACCUGCGCGCGCCAGGCGGGCGGGCGGGCGGGGAAGCCACGCCUGCCCUGGGCUCCUCCAGAGUUUGGGGCAAAGGCUGACUCCGGGCCGGGCAGUGCUCCGUAUGCGGCAACACGGUGGCAGCAGACCGGGGUUGGCUGUCCCGGGGGCGGCCAGGGAAGACUGCAUGGAGGAGGCAGAAAGACAGAGAAAGGUCUCCCAGCUGCUCAUUCACUCCCCAAAUGCCCAGGGCUGGGCCCGGCUGGAGCCAGGAGCCAGCAACUCAGGGGACCCAAGGCCUGGAGCCUUCAACGCCCACUUCCCAGGAAGUGCCGCUAGCAGGAAGCCGGAUCAGAAGCAGAGCCAGGACUCCAACCCAGACACUGCUGCAUGCGACGUGGGCCUCCCGGGCAGCUCGAUCCUUGCGCCAAACAUCUGCCCACUGCCCUUUUCCAAGCCUGGCUGGCUUAGGGCGCCCAGACCCAGAAGAAUCGAGGCCGGCUGGCCAGCCCCUGCCAUCGGGAGAGGGCACCGUGGAGGCUCAGAGAGGAGGAGCAAGCCGGGGAGGCUUCCUGGAGGAGAGGGUCUGGACCAGGGCCUGGGGACCACAAAGGGUCAGGAGUGGUGGCACCGGUGAAGCUUGAGAGUCUUAGGAGAGCUGAGGAGGGAAGUCUGGGAGGCAAGGAGAGCACGAGUCAGGGGUCAAGGGUCAGGGCAGGCUGCCCCGCUGCUUGAGCCCAGGGGGCCCACGUGAUGUGGCCAGUGCCAGUGUCCAAGGGGCGGCCCAGGCAGGCCGGACUCUUCAGCUGGACAGAGACGCACCGUGGCAGGGGUGGGCUAAAGAUCUCUGGACUGGAGCGGAGGGAGGCCACUGCCUCGGGGCCUGGAGCCGGAGCAGCCCUGGCCCCGGGCAGGGGCUGGCUCAGGAAGGCCUGGGGUCAGGGCUUUCCUCCGCCCCUGCCCCAUGCCCCGUGUUUGCGUUCGAGUUGAUUAAACCCAAGGAAUUUUCGCGUCCUGGAUCAGAGGCCCACGUGCACCGCCUCCUGCCGUCUGUGGUUAUCAAAAUCCUCAGAGGGCCAAGUGCUGAGCCGGGAGGAGCGGGGGGAGCGGGGGAGGCCUGCAGCGUGGCCGGAAUCCUAGGAGCACCCGCAGGGCUCCCCAGGGCUCCCCCGGCCCCCAGCAGCCUGUGCAGCCUUCCUGAAGACCCUGCACCCUCGGGGCUGAACCUGGGACUUGUUGGCGCCGGGUACGGGUUGCAGCCAGAAGCCCCCAGACCCUGCGGCUCUCCGCCUCCCACCCCAGACCCCAGCUUGGGCUCUGAGUCCAUCCAGUGGCACCCCGGAAGCACAAACCUCAGCCAGACCUCAUCCCCGAGCACAGCGGGGAGCGCGCCAGGUGGGUGGGGUGGGGAGGGGUGGCCA